rnacentral:rRNA from 1 species
CCCUUAGAUGUCCGGGGCCGCACGCGCGCUACACUGAAGGAAUCAGCGUGGCUUUCUCCCUGACCCGAAGGGGUUGGGAAACCCGUUGAAUCUCCUUCGUGAUAGGGAUUGGGGCUUGAAAUUGUUCCCCAUGAACGAGGAAUUCCCAGUAAGCGCGAGUCAUAAGCUCGCAUUGAUUACGUCCCUGCCCUUUGUACACACCGCCCGUCGCACCUACCGAUUGAAUGACUCGGUGAAAAAUUGGGACCGUGAGUCUGUUUGCUUCAUUGCGAGUGGAUUGAUGGGAACUUUUUUAAACCUCGCCAUUUAGAGGAAGGUGAAGUCGUAACA